rnacentral:rRNA from 1 species
CCUACGGGUGGCAGCAGUAAGGAAUAUUGCGCAAUGGGCGAAAGCCUGACGCAGCGACGCCGCGUGGGGGAUGAAGGUCUUCGGAUUGUAAACCCCUUUCGGGAGGGAAGAUGGAGCGAGCAAUCGUUCGGACGGUACCUCCAGAAGCAGCCACGGCCAACUUCGUGCCAGCAGCCGCGGUAAUACGACGGUGGCAAGCGUUGUUCGGAUUCACUGGGCGUGCGUGUAGGGGAGGCGGUAUGGUUAGUCUUAAAGCUUCGGGCCCAACCCGGAAAGCGCAGAGGGUACUGCCAGGCUAGAGGGUGGGAGAGGAGCGCGGAAUUCCCGGUGUAGCGGUGAAAUGCGUAGAGAUCGGGAGGAAGGCCGGUGGCGAAGGCGGCGCUCUGGAACAUACCUGACGCUGAGACACGAAAGCGUGGGGAGCAAACAGGAUUAGAUACCCCAGUAGUC